CACUUUAGUCCAAAUCUCAAACUUAUUACAUCCAGGGCCUGUGGUUUGCAUUUUGUUGCCAUUUUGGUCCAAAUUUCAAAUUUGGCCAGAUUCUCCUACUUAAACCCUUCUAUUUUGUCUUUAUCCUCAGGGGCAUUUUAGUCAUAUAGAUUUAUUAUAACUGAUUAUUGAUUAAAAAUAAUAAAAUCAAAAUCAAUCAACCAUCUUCUUCAUUUCAACCAGAAAAUAAAACCCAGACCCUCUAUCACCAUCUUCUUCAUUUCAACCCUAACACCAAAAUCAAUCAACCUUAAGACCUGCAAUGAACACCCCACCACCACCACCUCCACCACCAGACCUCCACCGACGCACCUCCAGCCCCACUGCAAAAUCACCACCGCCGCACCUCCAACCCUGCUGCAAAACCCCCACCACCGCACCUACUCCCCCAUUGUAAAACCCCCACCACCGCACAUCCUCCCCUGCUGCACAACCCCCACCACGCACCUCCACCACUACAAUCAAUCACAAACCACAAAACCCUAAAACUCAUCAGCCAUCAACCCACCCAAAUUCAUACCAAACAUAUCUAAAUUUCACUUACCAGGUUAAUGUUCCGGAGAUGAAGCUAGGGUUUCGGCGAGAAUUUCACCGGCAAAAAUCACCAUGCUCACCUUCAACAAACCCAAAACCAUUAUUCACUCUAUCCACUCUCAAAUCACUUCACACCCUCUAAUCUCCCUCUUCAUCUUCUCCCUUUUCCUCAUCCAGAUCACCCUCUUCUGUUCCCACUCACCGCCGCCACAACCACUACUCCCACCAACCCACGACAACCUCUGCACCGACGGCACAAUCUACGUCUACGACCUCCCACCCAUGUUCAACUCCGAUUUACUCGGAACAUGCGACGAUCUGGACCCCUGGUAAUGGCAGUGCGACGUCGCCACCAACCACAGUUACGGCACCACCGCGACCGAGCUCGCCGGAAUUGUACCAGAAAGUUUAGCAUCCCACUGUUCGAGAGAGAGGAGAAAGAUGAUGGCAGUGGGAUGGUGGUGUUGGCGGCAGUGGGAUUGUGGUGGUGGGGAUGAUGCGGUGGUGGGGGUGGUGGUAUGGUGGUGGUAGUUAAGAGAAGAGAGGUUGAGAGAGAGAAGAGAGAGAGGCAGAUGUUGAGAGAGAGAGAAGAGAGAGAGGCAGAUGUUGACUAUAUAAUAAAACCAAAAUGACUAAAAUACCCAUAAAGACAAAAUAGCAGGUUCUUUUUUGAAAAUCUGACCUGAUUUCGUUUUUGGACCAAAAUGGCAACAAAAUGCAAACCACAGGGCCCUGGAUGUAAUAAGUUUGAGAUUUGGACUAAAGUGGCAAAACUGGCCAAACCACAGAGACCAAAAUGGCAGUUUACUCUAGUUUAAUUUAAAUUAGGUUUCCAACAUUGGUUGUUAUUUUGAUGAUACUGGUAUGCAAUCUUACUCUUUGUUGGUAGUCCAGUUUAUAACUUUUAAUGAAGAAACUGUGGUAAGAAAACGGGUUACAAAUGAGUGACAGUGGUCUCUAAUUGUUGAACUGCAUAAGUAUUGUGUUUGGUUUCCCGUAUUUAAUAGUUAUUAUUGUGAGUUUGCCAUUAUCCUUUUAUCCUAAUUAUGUAAGUCCAGAUAAAUAAAGAAAUGAACUGGGCCCUAUUAACCUUUUUGUACCCAGAAAUGUGGGAUGCAGAAUGUUUGCAAUUAGUGACCAAGAAAGAGGUGUCGUAACCAUAGUUAUUGAAGAUACAUGACCGAGACCGGACAUGAUCCUUGGGACGAACCAGACUCCAUUCGGACGGACAUCUAAAACAUGUCCGUUCCACAUCAAGCACCUCCGAAGACGAACCUCCAUUCAAGUGCGUCUGGACGAAUGACGUCAUCUCAGUUGACUAUUAUAAAUACCCCGUCAAGUACAAAGCCUAUGCAUGAGGUUUAUGAGCUGACUGUAUCAAACUUCCAGAGCCUUUUUCAUUUUAUAGUUGGUGGGCACGUUAUCGACAUGCGUGUAAUGAGCCUCCCUGCGUAUCCUGGCCCGGGCGUUGAUGCAUAACAUCGCUUCAAGGUUACUUCCUUUACUGCCAAUUGACUGAAGAGCUAAAAAGCUUAUUUAAGUGACAUCUUAAGGGCCUCUGUGCAGGUAUUACACACACACACAUGUAUAUGCAUUUUCAAGUAUCUAUUCCGGCUAUAGAGGUUAAAAGAUGGGCUGGCUGGAAUGUUGGAUAAUGGGCCAAAACAAAUGUUAGUUAAAAUGAGUCAAAACAAAGCCGGUGGGUUGACACUUGACCAUUUUCAAAAUCUAUAUUGGUUAAGACUACAAAACAAUAUUAUUACUCUAAUGGUCUAAAUAAAUGAAUAGAAACAAUUAGGGUGUUUUAUGCACCAAAGAACUGUACCUGCAAAAGGGUGUUUCCAAGGGGUUUGUUUGCGAAGACCACGGAAAGAAUGAGCAGCCAAGAUUCAUAUAUUCUGUUUGUUAGUAAUUUUAUUACAAUUGAAAAUCAUCUUUUAUAAGCCUGCAGCCUAUUGAUAUUGUGAGAAACCAAAAUCAUGUUUUUUUAAAGAUUUGCUAAAAAACAACUUCACAGAAUACUCAACACUCUAAUAUACACUUGAAUAUAAUUUAAUUAAUUUCAAUGAAAAGUAUUGAGACUGAGCGUGAAAUUAGUAUUGCAAGGAUAUGAUAACUAGAAGGUAACAUUGUUAUUAUGAUAGAGCUGCAACAUUCAUUUAUUAAAGUCAAAUCUCAAACAUGAAGCAUGUUGGAUAAAUAUGACUACACUUUCUAAAUAUAGACUCAGGUAUAUCCACCUUUGAUGGAUUAUACUUUUUAAACCUGAAAAUAUAAAUAUAACAAUAAAAAUUACUUGUCCACGAGUUGCUAGGGGUCAUUUAUAUUACACAAUAAAUGUAUGUGGACUUAGUUUACACACGUUUGUUGAUGGGUUUUGAGGAGGGUACGUACUAAACUCUUUAUUUGACAUAAGUGGAUAUACUUUAGAAUUUUUAUAUAGUGAUAACACUGUAAUUAAUUGCUAUAAUAAUAAGUUAUAGUACUUGUUUGAUAAAAAAUCAUAAAUUAUGUAUGAUUAUUAUUUACAAUAAACUUAAGAAUCAUGAAUGCAUGAUUUUGCCAAGAAUCCAAGUGUUACCAGUGAUAUGAGAUGAUAAGAAUGAGAGGUUUAGAACAUGUUUAGUAGGGUUUGAAGUUCAAGCCUCUCCUUUGGGUAUUAUACGACACAUGACGUUCUAGUCAGCAAAGAGUAUUAUGGAACUUGAAGUUUAAAAUUGAUGUAGUGGUAUAAUGCCCCAAAAUGCCCUUGUAAUGAUUACCCAAUUACAGGUGUGUGUGUGGGUCGGUUAUGGCCAAAAACCAUAACCAUAUCCACGAUGUCAGUUAAUGGAUAAUCAUAACCAUAACUGAUUGGUUAUGACGGUUUUGGUUAAUCGGUUUUGAAUGUUAUUACGGCUCUUAAUGGGCGGUUAACCAUGAAUUUACGUCUUGUUAAAAAAUAACUCAUUUUUUUAACAACGGAGUAAAUUGUCAUUAUACCUUUGUAUAUAUUAAUAUAUUACAUAUUAAAAAACAUAUAUAAUCUAUAAUAUUAAUACCAAUUAUUUAUGAAUAUUCAAAUAAAACGAUAUGAUAUAAACAAUAAAUUCAAACAGACUUUCAACCAAAACGAUAUAAUAUAAUCCAUAAAUUCUAACACACAUUUAAUCAAAAACAUCAACUAUUGAAAAAUGGUGAAAAGUCUAAAAUCCAACAAAGAGUUUACUACAUCUUGAUUCGGUUCAUUAUGUUGGGCAUGGAAACAUUGAUAACCAUAAGCGACCCGUUACUUUCGGUUUUCAAAAAAUAAUUAACUGAUCCACCGCUUUUUUAUUUUGUUCAGUUUUUUCGCUUCGGUUUUGUCGGUUAAUUCGGUUUUUUUCUCACCCCUACCCAAUUAUCUUUUUUAGAAAAAUAAAACAAAAGCAACCCUUACCCUAUGAUCAUACAAAUUUUUUUUUUUGAAACCAACAACAAAAGCAGCGUUUUAAUGGUAACGUCGGGAGCCAAAAUUCGAAGAUCAUGCUGCGGGAGGCGGAGGUUGGGCUUCACACCACUUCAUUUCCCCGCUACACAUGAUGGGGACUCAAAAGUUUCAAACUAUCAUUUUUUUUGAACGGUAAAUUUGGAUCACUGACGGACCAUUGGAGUAUCAUCGUGCCACCAGCAGAACCACCCGAUCAUAUCCAUCUCCACUAGGCAAUAAUGCCUAUACACCAAUUCAGGAGAAAACCCAAUAAAUUUGGGAAAAACCCCCUUAGUGGGAAUCAAACCAUGACCUAACAGUCAUAAGACUUAUCCCACCACCAAGAUACCACUAGGCUAUAAUGCCAUGGAUAGUUUCAAACUAUAAUGGGUAUUGAAACAUAACCCAGUCAUAACAAAUGACGAAAGUACAACAAUUUAUUCAUGUCCAUAAUUUAAAUAAUGAUAAUUAACAACGUGUUCAAUUUCAAAAUAAAGGUAGUUCGUUUGUUGACUCGUUGAAUAAAUUAAUAUACCAAUUUUGAGACUUGUGUGAACACUGAAAAAACAAACCAAACCAUAAAAAGUUUAAAACUAAACAAAAAAUGAGGCAAGCCACCGAGUCACAAGUUAAUUUCCAAACUAUAAAUAAGCAACACUUUCAUGCUUUAUGUUGUUGUAACAUAUGCAAUGAGAGUUUUUCAAAAAAAAUUACAUUUUUCACUUUUAACCCCAAAAUCCACUAUCCCUCAUUACUAAACUUCUGCGCACUAAGAAAGGUCAUGAUGCCAUCUGGGUAAUUGUGGAUCGUCUUACUAAA